rnacentral:rRNA from 1 species
GAUGCACGCUGGCGGCGUGCCUAAUACAUGCAAGUCGAGCGAACGGACGAGAAGCUUGCUUUUCUGAUGUUAGCGGCGGACGGGUGAGUAACACGUGGAUAACCUACCUAUAAGACUGGGAUAACUUCGGGAAACCGGAGCUAAUACCGGAUAAUAUUUUGAACCGCAUGGUUCAAAAGUGAAAGACGGUCUUGCUGUCACUUAUAGAUGGAUCCGCGCUGCAUUAGCUAGUUGGUAAGGUAACGGCUUACCAAGGCAACGAUGCAUAGCCGACCUGAGAGGGUGAUCGGCCACACUGGAACUGAGACACGGUCCAGACUCCUACGGGAGGCAGCAGUAGGGAAUCUUCCGCAAUGGGCGAAAGCCUGACGGAGCAACGCCGCGUGAGUGAUGAAGGUCUUCGGAUCGUAAAACUCUGUUAUUAGGGAAGAACAUAUGUGUAAGUAACUGUGCACAUCUUGACGGUACCUAAUCGGAAAGCCACGGCUAACUACGUG